rnacentral:rRNA from 1 species
CAGCAGCCGCGGGAAAACGUAGGUGGCAAGCGUUGUCCGGAAUUAUCGGGCGUAAAGCGCGCGCAGGCGGAUAGGUCAGUCUGUCUUAAAAGUUCGGGGCUUAACCCCGUGAUGGGAUGGAAACUGCCAAUCUAGAGUAUCGGAGAGGAAAGUGGAAUUCCUAGUGUGGCGGUGAAAUGCGUAGAUAUUAGGAAGAACACCAGUGGCGAAGGCGACUUCCUGGACGAAAACUGACGCUGAGGCGCGAAAGCCAGGGGAGCGAACGGGAUUAGAUACCCGCGUAGUCCCUGUCUCUUAUACA